CACAGGCAGCCGUCCAAAACAUUACAAGCUAAAAUGCAACCAUGACCACCUGGAGUUUCAGCACAAUGAGACGCUAUGCUUUGGAGAACAUUCUUUUGACUGGAGGGGGAAAACAGCCUCAACCCUGUGGAACAAAUGAGCAUACGGAAACAUCCAGAAGAUGUUACAUAUGGUGACAAGUUGUCAGUCCUCGUUUGGCACAGAAUGCAUUUUUUUUUUUCUGGUUGAUAUUAUUCCCCAAAUGUUCGUGAGUAAUUUCAUGUGCAAGAAUUUUUUUUUUCUCCCUGCUUGGCAGAAAUUUCCGUAAGGACAAGGUCCACAACUUAUUUCUUUUAUAUCCUCCCCCAAAUGCAUAGCACAGUCUGUUCCUCACACCAGACACUGACUCAGUGUAGGGAGAUUCCAUGAGUGGAACCUUACCCUGAAUGAGUGAUGCCUAUGAAGAUUCUGAAAUGCCCAUUUCUUCCACAAGCACACCUCUCCUUCCCCCAUCUGACCCCUUUUGUCAAAGGCAUUUUCCAUCUUGGAUAUCACUAAGCAGAAGCAGAAAGCCAGAACCCACUGCCAACCUGUAGCAUCUAGAACUGUCCGGAGUUUGAUUAAGGAGUUAGUAAUUAAACCAAUGGAUUCAUAAA